CGUUCGCCUCUUUCUCUCUCCUCCAUUGUUGGCGACGACAGCAGUGACUAGUGGUGGGCUGGGCGCAGCUGGGCGGCGGCGGGAUGAGCUCGACGGCGAGGCGUGGUGGCGCGGUGGCGACGCUCCUCCUUCCCCUCUUACUUUCUUCUUCGUGGAUCCCUCUCCUCACUUCCUUUUCUGUUUCAUUUUCUUUUCUGAAGAAGUUGUCGUGUGGUGUUGUAUUUUGUGUAGGUUUGCUGAAGGAAAAAGGAAAGGUAGCGGCUAGGGUUUCAUUUAGGAAUAGGG